UAGGGAAUAUUGGGCAAUGGUCGAAAGACUGACCCAGCCACGCCGCGUGCAGGAGGAAGGCCCUCUGGGUUGUAAACUGCUUUAGCAGGGGAAGAAAAGACUCAUGCGUGAGGCAUUGACGGUACCCUGAGAAUAAGCACCGGCUAACUACGUGCCAGCAGCCGCGGUAAUACGUAGGGUGCAAGCGUUGUCCGGAUUUAUUGGGUUUAAAGGGUGCGUAGGCGGCCUAUUAAGUCAGUGUUUAAAUUUUGCAGCUUAACUGUAGGUAUGGCAUUGAUACUGAUGGGCUUGAAUAUUAAGGAGGUAGCUGGAAUUUAUGGUGUAGCGGUGAAAUGCAUAGAUACCAUAAGGAACACCGAUAGCGGAGGCAUGUUACCACUUGAUAAUUGACGCUGAGGCACGAAAGUGUGGGGAUCAAACAGG
rnacentral:rRNA from 1 species